CGUUUCCAUUUGGAAGUUGUUGCCCAUAAUUUUGAGGCAAAUAUAGAGGAAAAGAUUACGGUCCUUAGUAUGAAUGACUUGUGAAGAGGCUAAUUUAGGGCUGCUUCUUUGGAGACAUUGGAGAUUUGAGGCUUGACAUCUACUGAGCUCAAGAAAAGAGAAUUUUCUGCUGGGAAGAACUAAAGCCAAAAGAAGAAAUUUUGGACCUAGAAAGAACAUGAGUCUAUGAUGAAGUCACUGAGACACCAAAGGUUAAUUGCUUGCCCAAAGCCAUGUAGCAACUUGGUUGAAGUUACUUUAGUGUCGAAAGCUCCACAUAUGUGCUUUUCGCAAAAUCAAUAGUCACCCCAUGCAAACGAAGAGAUGGUAAUUAGAGAUGGGACAGACCCCAACAUAUCCUUCAUUUGAAGAUAGAAUAAAUUCAGCAAGAUACCUAAUUAUUAUCAUCAUCUUUCACAAAAACAUAUGUGAUUUUUCCCCCCUACCCAAAUGUUUUAGUGAAAACUGCAACUGUGCAUUAAAAGGCAGUUUUGCAUGCAUAUAUUCAGAGAACAAUAUGGAGAAUCU
rnacentral:lncRNA from 1 species